rnacentral:rRNA from 1 species
AGGACGAACGCUGGCGGCGUGCUUAACACAUGCAAGUCGAACGAUGAUGCUGCAACUUGUUGUGGUGGAUUAGUGGCGAACGGGUGAGUAACACGUGAGUAACCUGCCUUUCACUCUGGGAUAAGCCUUGGAAACGAGGUCUAAUACUGGAUAUGACUUCUUGCCGCAUGGUGGGGGGUGAAAGCCUUCGGGUGGUGGAUGAUGGACUCGCGGACUAUCAGCUUGUUGGUGGGGUUGUGGCCUACCAAGGCAAUGACGGUUAGCCGGCCUGAGAGGGUGACCGGCCACAUUGGGACUGAGAUACGGCCCAAACUCCUACGGGAGGCAGCAGUGGGGAAUAUUGCACAAUGGGCGAAAGCCUGAUGCAGCGACGCCGCGUGGGGGAUGAAGGCCUUCGGGUUGUAAACUCCUUUCGCUCGUGACGAAGUCUCUUCGGGGUGACGGUAGCGGGAGAAGAAGCACCGGCUAACUACGCGCCAGCAGCCGCGGUAA